rnacentral:rRNA from 1 species
CAGCAGCCGCGGUAAUACCGGCGGCCCGAGUGGCGGUCACUAUUAUUGGGCUUAAAGCGUCCGUAGCCGGGUUGGGAAGGCCUCCGGGAAAUCUGGCCGCUUAACGGUCAGAAUGCCGGAGGAUACUCCCAGCCUAGGGAGCGGGGGAGGCCGAGGGUAUUCCCGGAGUAGGGGUGAAAUCCUAUAAUCCCGGGAGGACCACCUGUGGCGAAGGCGCUCGGCUGGAACGCGUCCGACGGUGAGGGACGAAGGCCAGGGGAGCAAACCGGAUUAGAUACCCGGGUAGUCCUGGCUGUAAAGGAUGCGGGCUAGGUGUCGGGUGAGCUUCGGGCUCGCCCGGUGCCGGAGGGAAGCCGUUAAGCCCGCCGCCUGGGGAGUACGGCCGCAAGGCUGAAACUUAAAGGAAUUGGCGGG